GCCUACGGGGGGCAGCAGUGGGGAAUAUUGCACAAUGGGGGAAACCCUGAUGCAGCGACGCCGCGUGAGUGAAGAAGUAUUUCGGUAUGUAAACCUCUGUCCUCUGUGAAGAUAAUGACGGUAGCAGAGGAGGAAGCUCCGGCUAACUACGUGCCAGCAGCCGCGGUAAUACGUAGGGAGCGAGCGUUGUCCGGAUUUACUGGGUGUAAAGGGUGCGUAGGCGGGUAAGCAAGUCAGAAGUGAAAUCCAUGGGCUUAACCCAUGAACUGCUUUUGAAACUGUUUAUCUUGAGUGAAGUAGAGGUA
rnacentral:rRNA from 1 species